rnacentral:rRNA from 1 species
CUACGUGCCAGCAGCCGCGGUAAUACGGAGGAUGCGAGCGUUAUCCGGAUUUAUUGGGUUUAAAGGGUGCGUAGGCGGCCUGUUAAGUCAGCGGUGAAAUCUAGGAGCUUAACUCCUAAAUUGCCAUUGAUACUGGCGGGCUUGAGUGCAGACAGGGAUGCCGGAAUUCGUGGUGUAGCGGUGAAAUGCUUAGAUAUCACGAAGAACUCCGAUCGCGAAGGCAGGUGUCCGGGCUGCAACUGACGCUGAGGCUCGAAAGUGUGGGUAUCAAACAGGAUUAGAUACCCUGGUAGUCCACACAGUAAACGAUGUAUACUCGCGGUUUGCGAUAGACAGUAAGCCGCCAAGCGAAAGCAUUAAGUAUACCACCUGGGGAGUACGCCGGCAACGGUGAAACUCAAAGGAAUUGACGGGGGCCCGCACAAGCGGAGGAACAUGUGGUUUAAUUCGAUGAUACGCGAGGAACCUUACCCGGGCUUGAACUAACGGUGACGAGUCUAGAGAUAG